CGACGAGAGGCUCCUGCUGCCGGCGCGCCACUGUGCGUUGGCUUGGUGGGCUUCGGGAUGCGGCACCCCUCGGGGUGGAAGGCUUGUGCAAGCUCCGCGCUUAGGGCGCGGCAGAACUUUCUCUCUCCCUGCCCCGGCCCCGGCCCCGGCCCCGGCCCCAGCCCCGGCCCCGGCCCCCCCGCCCCUGACUUUGCCCGUGAUCCCGUCCGUGCCUCUGUCCCUGCCAAGAUUUAUGUGGUGAAAAUGAGCCAAUAUCCUUAUGCGCAGAUAGAGUGAAUAAGACAAUCAUUACCGAUCUCCUUUUGGAUCCUCAUAGCCAACUUGGACCCAUGUAAAUUCAUCUGGGGAUACUGUCAACUGCCUCACCAGCUCUAAGGGCCACCAUAGUUCUGCCAACCUGAUGGCCCUUACCCGUGCAGCUUCUUCUCUUUGAUCUCUUCAGCAAAAAACUCUUUUUUUCAUCGUAAUCGUCGCUUCAUGAAGAUUUACUUCUGCUUUUGCUUGUCCUGAGAUGAUGAUUAUUACCUGUGCUUUCUAAAUUCAGGAAAGCUGCUAGAGAGAGACAAGUGGUACAACUUCCAUCUGUACCAGCACAAAGGAACUACUUUUACCUUCUGUUGCCAUCAUGAGAAACUGUCUACCUGCCCACAUCACACACCUAUGCUGUGGAGAGCUUCCAAUAUAAAAAGAAACAACCUUUCCUUUGAUCUCAGGCCUUCCAACUCUUGUGCUUAUCCUUUGAGGAAAGAGGAAGAAUUUAUAUUUGUAAAGAGAGGGACUCUAGCCAUUUCUGGGAGUAAUGCCUUCCACGUUGAUGGAGGAAUUUUGAACCCCACUGUUCCCAAUGAAAUCAUCUCCUUUCCCUACCACUAUAACCACCUCUGGAAUGUCAGCGCCAUAGGAAAUAAACUUCAUAUUAAAGCUUUUAUUCUUCCAUUCUUCUAACAAUCCAGGCUCCUCCCUAAAGACAUAUCCUCCCUGGUCACUUUUUACAAUACUAGUUACAUUUUCAUUCAUUCCCCUCAGUUCAUUGGCAGAGUAGGGAGAACCUUUCCCCUAUCCCCAUCACUUAGUCACACUGUCUCCUUUAAGAUUAAUUACCCAAUCAAAAUCCAGGUAAUUGUUCUUUCUAGACCUAUAGGUCAUUCAUUCUUCCUUCAACAAAUUCAGUAUGUAAGUUACAUUUUUUCCUCAACUCCUGCCCUCAUUACUCUCUUCAUCCUCAAAAAAUACUACUUGACAGGGGCAGCUAGGUGAUGCAGUGGAUAGA